CUGAGUGAGGGCCCCUGGCCCGACCUCCAACCCUUUGUGAUUAAACCAUGUUGCCUCGGGGUCGCCCGGACCUGACCCGGUCUACGGCGCCCCGGUGGACCACUUCAAAACACUGCAUCAAUGCGUCGGAUAAUACAAGUUUAAUUUGAUUA
rnacentral:misc_RNA from 1 species